GGGGGAAAGCCUGAUGCAGCCAUGCCGCGUGUAUGAAGAAGGCCUUCGGGUUGUAAAGUACUUUCAGUUGUGAGGAAGGGUGUGUAGUUAAUAGCUGCGCAUCUUGACGUUAGCAACAGAAGAAGCACCGGCUAACUCCGUGCCAGCAGCCGCGGUAAUACGGAGGGUGCGAGCGUUAAUCGGAAUUACUGGGCGUAAAGCGCAUGCAGGUGGUUCAUUAAGUCAGAUGUGAAAGCCCGGGGCUCAACCUCGGAACUGCAUUUGAAACUGGUGAACUAGAGUGCUGUAGAGGGGGGUAGAAUUUCAGGUGUAGCGGUGAAAUGCGUAGAGAUCUGAAGGAAUACCAGUGGCGAAGGCGGCCCCCUGGACAGACACUGACACUCAGAUGCGAAAGCGUGGGGAGCAAACAGGAUUAGAUACCCUGGUAGUCCACGCCGUAAACGAUGUCUACUUGGAGGUUGUGGCCUUGAGCCGUGGCUUUUCGGAGCUAACGCGUUAAGUAGACCGCCUGGGGAGUACGGUCGCAAGAUUAAAACUCAAAUGAAUUGACGGGGGCUCGCACAAGCGGGGGAGCAUGUGGUUUAAUUCGAUGCAACGCGAAGAACCUUACCUAUCUUGACAUCCAAAGGAAGCCCAGCGGAGACGCAGGUGUGCCUUUCGGGAACUCUGAAACAAGUGCUG
rnacentral:rRNA from 1 species